UACGAAGGGGGCGAGCGUUGUUCGGAUUUACUGGGCGUAAAGGGCGCGCAGGCGGCAGACCAAGUCAGGCGUGAAAGCCCCGGGCUUAACCUGGGAGGUGCGUCUGGGACUGGUAUGCUAGAGUUCGGGAGAGGAGAGUGGAAUUCCCAGUGUAGAGGUGAAAUUCGUAGAUAUUGGGUGGAACACCGGUGGCGAAAGCGGCUCUCUGGUCCGGACCUGACGCGUGAGGC
rnacentral:rRNA from 1 species